rnacentral:sRNA from 1 species
CGCUGACACUGCGUCCGGGGUCAGACGACGAUAUCAGCGCGGGGUCCCCACAACGCCAUGGGGCAGAGCCAACUCUCGAGCGCGUGACCGAAGCCUGCAGUUUAUCGCCUCCGUCACUUCCGGGUGCGACAAUCUCUUCUGUCCGGCCAGCCACUGGAGUCGUUAGGUGCCUCUUGCUUCUGACGAGCCACACGUUUGCUCCUUCCCUCUGUUCCCAGCUGGAGGGACAUGAGUGUCCCUGGGCCGUCGUCUCCGGACGGGGCCCUGACACGGCCACCCUACUGCCUGGAGGCUGGGGAGCCGACGCCUGUUUGCUGAGGCUAAACACUAUCAUGCCAAGUUGGUGAAUAUAAGAAAAGAGAUGCUGAUGCUUCAUGAAAAAACAUCAAAGUUAAAAAAAAGAGCACUUAAACUGCAGCAGAAGAGGCAAAAAGAAGAGUUGGAAAGGGAGCAGCAACGAGAGAAGGAGUUUGAAAGAGAAAAGCAGUUAACUGCCAGACCAGCCAAAAGGACGUGAAAAGCUGUGUUUGUGUGUUUUCUUCUCCUGUCCCAUAUUUGGGUUAUGAUGACUCAAGUGUAGACUGAAGUUGAGGUAGUGCCUUACGCCAUUAUGUCAUAUGUUGAAAUCCUUAUUCCGGUAUUACUUUGUCUCCAUGCCUUUUUUCCAAGUAGCAGACGUCAUGUUGCUUGGUUUUUGAUAUUUAUAUGUAAGUUUUUCAAAUUUUGUUUAAUUUUAAAAUUUAUUAUUUUGAUCUUGAAUUAUUUAUAAACUGGAAAGUGGUUUGAUUAUUGUGAGUCAAAACUCUAAGUGGUUAAAAAUUAGUAUGAAUUUUUUAGCUUCUUAAUGAAUACAGAUUUAAAACUCUCCAGUUCUUAUUUUAUGAAAUGACUUGCCUUUCUGGUAAUACAAUGCUGACUUUUUAGUAAUUGCCUUUUCAUUACUUUGUUAAGAAGAAAUGCCAGCUGUUUAAUCACACCUACCCCUGGAAAAGAGGUAAGCCUUUUGAACAGUUGAGUUUCAUCAGAAGCUCUAUAGCUUUUUGGUGAGA